UUUCCGUAGGUGAACCUGCGGAAGGAUCAUUAAAGAGAAUAUGCCCUUCGGGGUAGAUCUCCCACCCUUUGUUUAUAUUACCUUUGUUGCUUUGGCAGGCCCGUCUUCGGACCACCGGCUUCGGCUGGUCAGUGCUUGCCAGAGGACCCAAAACUCUUACUAUUAAUGUCGUCUGAGUACUAUAUAAUAGUUAUAACUUUCAACAACGGAUCUCUUGGUUCUG
rnacentral:misc_RNA from 1 species